UACAGAGGGUGCAAGCGUUGUUCGGAAUUAUUGGGCGUAAAGCGCGUGUAGGCGGCUUUGCAAGUCGGGUGUGAAAGCCCUCAGCUCAACUGAGGAAGUGCGCCCGAAACUGCAGAGCUUGAGUACCGGAGAGGGUGGCGGAAUUCCCCAAGUAGAGGUGAAAUUCGUAGAUAUGGGGAGGAACACCAGUGGCGAAGGCGGCUUCCUGGACACCAACUGACGCUGAGACGCGAAAGCGUGGGGAGCAAACAGG
rnacentral:rRNA from 1 species